GGACCAUAGCUCAAUGGCUAGAGCAUCAGCCUUGCAUGCAGAAGGUUCGAGGUUCAAUUCCUAGUGGCAUCU